UACAGAGGGCGCAAGCGUUGUUCGGAAUCAUUGGGCGUAAAGCGGGUGUAGGCGGCUUGGCAAGUCGGGUGUGAAAUCCCUGGGCUCAACCCAGGAACUGCACUCGAAACUGCCUCGCUAGAGUCCCGGAGAGGGUGGCGGAAUUCCCGGUGUAGAGGUGAAAUUCGUAGAUAUCGGGAGGAACACCAGUGGCGAAGGCGGCCACCUGGACGGUGACUGACGCUCAGACCCGAAAGCGUGGGUAGCAAACAGG
rnacentral:rRNA from 1 species